AUUAUUUCAGCGCAUCAGAGAUGGUAUAGUAUUUUUCUUUAAUAAAUAUAAUUAAUUUCAUUGUUAAUUAAAAAUGAAUUAGACUGCUUUUCUCUUUGGAAGGUCCAAGAUUUCUUAUGCUUAGAUAUAGUUGUUGCAUUAGAUCAUUAUUUACUUGAUAAUCAACAUUUUCUGAUUUUAGUACACUCCUUUAUGGCCUUGUAGGUCCUUAUGUUUUGCAAUUUCCUGGAUCUGCACAAAAUAUCUGAAUUUUUUUUAUUUGGGUGUAAUUAUUUGCUCAAGUAUUAGAAAACAUUUUGGGAGAUAUAUUUGUCAUGGUUACUGUUUAAUGUAAAAUCCACUUUACCUUUUAGCUUACUGUAUCACUAUCUAGUAUCUACGAUGCACGGAAAUGGGAUGGGCUGAGUUUCCUCCUUCUGGAAACAUUUCCUUGUCGGAAACGUGAGGACAAGGCCAGGAAACGUCUCCAGGCCGUUUCUACAAUUCCUUGAAAUUGGAAACGCGUUUCCUUUGCCAGACACACAUUUCUUAAAAAAAAAAAAAAACCUAAAAUCAAAACUUAAAAGGAUCGUGAACAGCCAGAUUGGGACAUUAGGUUAAAAUCUAAUUGCGCUGCAAGAAGAAGAAGAAUAAGAAGAAAAGUACUUGGCGCUGGCAGGGCGGUGGCAGCUCGGGGCUCAAGUCAGGUAUGUUGCCGAUGCUCUGCCCCUCUGCCUCCCUUCCCAUGCUGCUCUGCUAACAAUCCCUGAUGUGCGUUGUGACUUGUGAGAUCGAUACCCAAUAAACUUGCUAUUUGAACAAUUAUUAAUUUUUUUCUUAGGAAAAAUAGUUAUUAAUUUUAUUUA
rnacentral:misc_RNA from 1 species